GGCCUCAUGGUGUAGUGGUAACAUGUCCUCUACUAGUGCCAAAAAAAUACUCUUUGGAGGAGGAAGUCCCUGAAGUCCCUGGUUUGAAUCAAGGUGAGGCCA